UACGUAGGUGGCAAGCGUUAUCCGGAAUUAUUGGGCGUAAAGCGCGCGCAGGUGGUUUCUUAAGUCUGAUGUGAAAGCCCACGGCUCAACCGUGGAGGGUCAUUGGAAACUGGGAGACUUGAGUGCAGAAGAGGAAAGUGGAAUUCCAUGUGUAGCGGUGAAAUGCGUAGAGAUAUGGAGGAACACCAGUGGCGAAGGCGGCACUCUGGGACGUGACUGACGCUGAGACGCGAAAGCGUGGGGAGCAAACAGG
rnacentral:rRNA from 1 species